GAUGAACGCUGGCGGCGUGCCUAAUACAUGCAAGUCGAGCGGCAGCGCGAGUAGUUUACUACUUGGCGGCGAGCGGCGGACGGCUGAGUAACGCGUAGGAACAUACCCCAAAGUGAGGGAUAAGCACCAGAAAUGGUGUCUAAUACCGCAUGUGCUCUAAGGAGUAAAGCUUCGGCGCUUUGGGAAUGGCCUGCGUCUGAUUAGCUUGUUGGUGAGGUAAAAGCUCACCAAGGCGACGAUCAGUAGCUGGUCUGAGAGGAUGAUCAGCCAGACUGGGACUGAGACACGGCCCAGACACCUACGGGUGGCUG
rnacentral:rRNA from 1 species